rnacentral:rRNA from 1 species
GACGAACGCUGGCGGCGUGCCUAAUACAUGCAAGUCGAACGAGAGCAACCGGUGCUUGCACUGGUCAAUCUAGUGGCGAACGGGUGAGUAACACGUGGGUAACCUGCCCAUCAGAGGGGGAUAACAUCCGGAAACGGAUGCUAAAACCGCAUAGGUCUUCGAACCGCAUGGUUUGAAGAGGAAAAGAGGCGCAAGCUUCUGCUGAUGGAUGGACCCGCGGUGCAUUAGCUAGUUGGUGAGGUAACGGCUCACCAAGGCCGUGAUGCAUAGCCGACCUGAGAGGGUGAUCGGCCACAUUGGGACUGAGACACGGCCCAAACUCCUACGGGAGGCAGCAGUAGGGAAUCUUCCGCAAUGGACGCAAGUCUGACGGAGCAACGCCGCGUGAGUGAAGAAGGUUUUCGGAUCGUAAAACUCUGUUGUUAGAGGAGAACAAGUGCUAGAGUAACUGUUAGCGCCUUGACGGUAUCUAACCAGAAAGCCACGGCUAACUACGUG